UUUCUUAUGAAUGCAAUACCAUUUAUAUCAAAUAUUACGGAAAGGAUAUUUCUUUAAAUUCAUUCAACGCAUACCUACUAUUUAUAUACAAUCAUAUUGGAGAGAUAUGCUCCAUAUAAUUUGCUACUUCAUAUGUUAUGUCUUUCUAUCAAGAAUUACACCAAAUUAUUGUCUUAUUUUUACCAUGUAUAUUAUACAUUGAUACACUUUCUAUAUACAUCUAUAUGAAAAAUAUAAUAAUUCCAAUACCCCCUCAAGUUGGUGAGUAAAUAUCAUGGACUCCCAACUUGUUUCGCAAAGUCACGAGGUCUCACAGGAUAUAACGUAUCCAUGCUAGCUCCACACAAGCAUUUGUCAUGACCCGAUAUUUUGCUUUUGGCAGAUGACCUUGACACAUUGGUUUGUUUCUUAGACUUUCAAGAUACUGAUGACUACUUUUACAGCAAAUGGAUCGUGUUGUCAAAAGUAAUAAUUUGUCUUCAAAAUCAUAUAAUUUGUAGCCUUUAAAUUAGGUAGAUAUCCAAUAAAGACGCCCCAUUGAGCACGGGGAUCAAAUUUGUGUUUGGGAUGAUUUACUAUUGCACAACAUAGGCUCUCAAAAAUACGUAAAUAUGUAACAGAUGAAACUUGGCUGUAUAAUAAUUGAAAGGGUGUUUUAUCUGACAAAAUGAGGGAAGGCAAGCGAUCAAUAAAAGGUAAAUUUUAUGCCUUUAAAUUUUAAUUUUAUCGAUAAACAUUAUAUUUAAAUUACAAGUUAAACUACGUAAUACAAUUAUAAUUGAUGGAUGAUUUUAUAAAAAAAAGGUUAACAACAUUGUCAAUGAAUUUCUAUAUUAUAAAUAUAUAAAAAUAAAAUCGCCUAGUUGUUAUAGGUGAUGCAAGAGUAAUAUCAAAAGUCAGUAUUCUUUAUGAAGAUAAUACUGUAAAUAAUUUAUUAAAAACAGUUUUGAAAUAAAUUAAUAAAUUAUAAAUGAAGAAUGCUGGUAUGAUCCAAAAUUAUCGCUAAUAGGAGUGGUGUAGGAUACUUAUUAAUGGAGUCUUGUCAUCUUCACUAUGCCAACGUUGCAUAAUAUAUAACCUAUGGUGAAGUUACAGUGUUAAGGUUUUAGGGAUUAAUCAAUGGAUCAUACUAAUAAUUAUGCUUAUAAGCAACAUCUGUUUGUACAAGGUUAAUGCACCCCUUAUAUUUAUCACACUUUU
rnacentral:lncRNA from 1 species